rnacentral:tRNA from 1 species
GAAGAGAUGGCUGAGUGGCUUAAAGCGGUAGACUGUAAAUCUAUUAAUUCAAUAAUUACUCGUAGGUUCGAAUCCUACUCUCUUCA